rnacentral:rRNA from 1 species
ACAAGCGGUGGAGCAUGUGGUUAAUUCGACGCAACGCGAAGAACCUUACCAGGCUUGACAUCCCCUGACCGCGUAUGAAAGUACGUUUUCACCUCGGGUGACAGGGAGACAGGUGGUGCAUGGUUGUCGUCAGCUCGUGUCGUGAGAUGUUGGGUUAAGUCCCGCAACGAGCGCAACCCCUACGUUUAGUUGCUAACGCGUGAAGGCGAGCACUCUAGACGAACUGCCGUUGACAAAACGGAGGAAGGUGGGAUGACGUCAAAUCAUCAUGCCCCUUAUGUUCUGGGCUACACACGUGCUACAAUGGCCGGUACAGACGGACGCAAAGCCGCGAGGUGGAGCAAAUCCUAAAAAGCCGGUCUCAGUUCGGAUUGCAGGCUGCAAUUCGCCUGCAUGAAGUCGGAAUCGCUAGUAAUCGCAGGUCAGCAUACUGCGGUGAAUACGUUCCCGGGUCUU